rnacentral:rRNA from 1 species
GACGAACGCUGGCGGCGUGCCUAAUACAUGCAAGUAGGACGCAGUUGCGAACGGGUGAGUAACGCGUAGGUAACUACCUAUUAGAGGGGGAUAACUAUUGGAAACGAUAGCUAAUACCGCAUACUAGUAGAUGGACCUGCGUUGUAUUAGCUAGUAGGUAGGGUAAUGGCCUACCUAGGCAACGAUACAUAGCCGACCGGGGAAGGGGAUGGGCGAAAGUGGGAUCGGUGACCGGGCAAGACCCCGACGGUAUGGCACAAGAGGGAAUGGGCGGCAAAGGGGGGAAACCUGGCCAAGCAACGCGUCGUGAGUGAAGAAGGUUGUCGGAUCGGAAAGCGCUGUUGUUAAGGAAGCGGUACUUAACCAGAAAGGGACGGCUAACUACGUGCCAGCAACCGCGGUAAUUC